rnacentral:rRNA from 1 species
AUUGAACGCUGGCGGCAGGCCUAACACAUGCCAGUCGAGCGGAUGAAGGGAGCUUGCUCCUGGAUUCAGCGGCGGACGGGUGAGUAAUGCCUAGGAAUCUGCCUGGUAGUGGGGGAUAACGUCCGGAAACGGGCGCUAAUACCGCAUACGUCCUGAGGGAGAAAGUGGGGGAUCUUCGGACCUCACGCUAUCAGAUGAGCCUAGGUCGGAUUAGCUAGUUGGUGGGGUAAAGGCCUACCAAGGCGACGAUCCGUAACUGGUCUGAGAGGAUGAUCAGUCACACUGGAACUGAGACACGGUCCAGACUCCUACGGGAGGCAGCAGUGGGGAAUAUUGGACAAUGGGCGAAAGCCUGAUCCAGCCAUGCCGCGUGUGUGAAGAAGGUCUUCGGAUUGUAAAGCUCUUUAAGUUGGGAGGAAGGGCAGUAAGUUAAUACCUUGCUGUUUUGACGGUACCAACAGAAUAAGCACCGGCUAACUUCGUG